AGGGCACGUAGCCACCUGGAGGCCGUGCACUCGCCGAUGUGAUGCGGAAUCGAGGUGUCACCAUGGCUGGGCUGUGAGGAGGACACUUGAGUCCAUGGGUGAGUAACGCAGUGGUCCCUCCCCAGCGUGCAGGGCCUCCUUGGGUCUGUCGGAGGCAUGGCGCCUUCUGCCUGGACAUGGGCUCGUCCUGCCUUCAGAUUUGGACCAGGACUAGAGCUUGCAGCACUGGCUCUCCCAGGCUUCUGGUUCCCCUGGCUGGCUGGCUCCCCCGGGUGUCCGGCUCUCUCGGGUGUCCGGCUCUCCCGGGUGUCCGGCUCUCCCGGGUGUCCGGCUCUCCCGGGUGUCCGGCUCUCUCGGGUGUCCAGCUUGCCAGCUGCAGAUGGUGAGCUCUCAGCUUCCUAACUGUGGGAGCCAAUUUUUAAAAAUAAACCUCUCUCUGUGCACGACCCCCUGGCUCUGUUCCUCUGGAGAACUCUGACUAACACAGCCAACAUCUGGAGAGAAAGCAGGGCCUCCUCACCCUGAACCAGGUUGGUGUAUACUUUUCUUUUGAAGGUUUAAACUUACUUUCCCUUAUAAGGGUCCAUUUUACAUGAUUCUUCAACAAAUUCAACAGAAAACAAAUCAGCUUCUGAGCAGCCCCUGUUCUGUGCCCCGGGCAGAGGAAACAGAUGUUACAGGGUGAGUGGAGGUGGAGAGGAGCCCCCCACCCAGGGGGAAGCCCCUCACGACUUGUGGCUGUGGGAAGCGGGGAAGGAGGUGGGGAACUUCCUCAGAACAAUGGUUCACGGGGCCGGGGAAACCUCUCGGGGUGAAGCAGGACCUCCUCCAACUCAGUUGUUGCCUCUGAUAGCCGAGCUCUGUUUGAUGUUUCAGAAUUACUGAGAUGCUAGAAGUGGAUUCAGACAAGUCUGUGUUUUCUCUGCUCUGGUUCCUGUGAGGUGUCCCUUCCCCUGGGGUCUCAGUGACUGUCUCCACUGCGUCUCCAGUUAACGGAGGGAUGGAGACCCCUAUUCCAAACAUGCAGUCCCCAUGGCCACUUCCGAAUUGCCGGGUCAGAGCUCACAGACAGCUAUCGGUUCCCAGGAGGGAGCGCUGACUCCAGAGCCGGGGCUGCCACAGGCCUCCCACGAGGGCUGGGACCACUCCCAGCUUCCCCACACCUGCCCUGCAGAACACUUGCCCUGCAGAGGCUGCCUCAGACAUCUUCUCCUUUUCCUCCGAAGAACUCACUCUCUCUCUAAACGGGCACUGGGAGCCACCGUGAGAGGGGCUGAAGUCGGCUUUGGGCAGGCGUCCCCUUGGCACCGCGGGGAUGGGUACCAGCAGGGCCUGGGAGGACUGGGCUGGGGAAAUGCUGGACAAAAUUGAAAGGAAAGGACCGGAUGGCCGAUGGGCUGCGGGCAGGGAGCUGGAGUCUCAUGGUGGCUGCGGUUUCUUGUUCCAGGGUGGAAGGCAGCGGUGCCUCCUGAGAGCUGGCCUGAGCUUGGCGUGAGAGGGCUGGCUCAGGCCUGGGACCAAGGCUACCUGGAGAGUGCGUCCUGCGCUGGGGCUUACAGAGGCUCUUACACACUCUGCUGAGCCACCAGAUGUCCAGCCAGUCAGUGAGGAGGAACAGCUGGACCGACCGCGGCCAUCAAGCCUUUACUCACUACGGUGGUGGCCACAGACCAGAGGCAGAGGGAGGCACUGGCUUCCGUGUCCCAUUCACCCCACGGAGGGGACGGGUGAGGGUUGGCCGGGUGCAGUGCAGAUGUGGGGAUCGCCUCAAGAGGAGGAGCCCCCAGCAAGAGGCUCCUGGCAGAGCUGGGCACAGUGGCGGCUCACGUCUGCAAUCCCAGCACUUGGAGAAGUCAGGCAGGAGGAUCGCUGGAGGCCACGAGUUUGAGGUCAGCCUGGGCAACACAGCAAGACACUGCCUCUAAAAACAGUCUGGGGCCAGGGACAGGAAGGGCAUGAGGGGAGGAAGGUGGCUCAGCUGCCACCCCCACCCCGCUAAGGAGGCCUCUGGAUGUCGGUGCCUGGCCUAGGACUCUAGACGUGAGUGGGAGCUGGCCUUCUGGUGCUGGGGUGGCCGCUGGGCCCGGGACUGCAGCUCCCUGCAGACGCCGUGAUGCGCUGGCUGCAGAAGACUGGUGCGGGGAGGGUAGCUUCCCCGAGGCCUGCCGGGCAAAGCCUCAUCAGGCCUGUGGUUGGGGCCAGAUUCUAAUCAGGAACCAACUCAUUAAAUCUUCACAAAAGCCCAGUGCUGAGUUUCCACGCUGCAGACUGGGGUGGACUUGAGGGUUAAUGCAGGUGGCCUAGCACCAGCGUCCAAGACGCUGACUUCCCCUGGUCCAGCCUGUCCAGCCGCUGUGGGCAUCGGGUUGGUGGGACGCAGGUGGUGGGUGUGAGGGUCCGUCACUCUGAGUCAUGCUGCCCCUUCUUGCUGAGUUGAACUCUACGCUGUGUGUUUCUUGCAUCCCUCCCUCCCCUAGGAGCUGGGUUAUCGUAGAUCCUGGAAUCUCUUACUUAGAUCUUUGCCUGAAGUCUUCUUUUUUUCAUGAGGGCAGCUGCACUGCACCCACACCAUCAUCAGAGGACCCCCUCGUCUCCUGGCCCCAGGGGCCACCACUUCGUCUAUGGCUGGCCAGGGAAGGUGCCUCAUCUUCCUGCCCACAGCAGGGCCAACUGGGGAGUCUGCAUGAAGCUGGCUGCGGGGAACAGCGUCUUCCUCAUGGCUGUGGGUAGGAGGGUUCAGGGGCCUGACCUGACUCAAAGAGAAGCAGGUUCAUGGGGGCUGGGGGGCAUGGUAGUGAUAGUGGUGGGCAGAGGGGGAGACAGAGCGAGAGGAGAGACAGAAAGAGAGAGAGAUCUGAUAACGUCACAUAAGCUCCUGGAUCCAGCCAUUCCUGAAGCCUCCGAGCCACCUAGCAUUGGGUCCAUCCACCCUGGGCUUCCCCUUCAGCUUAACCUUGGUUUCAGACACUAGCAACUUAGGCCCAUUCCUAAUUCUCCAUUUUCAGCUUCCUCAUGACAUUUAUACCACAGACAAAAGCAAAUAAACAGAUGGAACGCCAAACCCAGCCAAUAAACCUUUUGUUUAAGCUCAUUCUGAACCAGGAACCCAUGCUCCUCAUACCCUGCUGUGUCCUUGGUUUUCUCCAGGAUGGUGCUCUGGGGAUAAAACCAGACGACCCACCUGACACGCGGAGUUGCAGGGGGUCAGGUGACACGGCGGCUGAGCUCCGAGCCCAGAUGACACCCUCACAGCCGAGCUCUGCCGUGCCCGUCCUUCGUGCACCCAGCCCAUCCCUUCGGCUGCGUGUGACCCCAGGACCCGGGUUCCGGUUUUCAGGUGUUAUUUCUGGUCAGUGGUUUGGAUCCCUCCCAGGAGGGCCUGGGUGGCCAAGGCAGCGGGAGGUGCCCUGCGGUGGCACAGCGGCACUGUCUCCACUCGCUGUUCAGGUCUGGGACACACAGUGCUGUUGCUCAGCUGGAGACGGGGCAUCCCAGUGACGGUCACCUUGCAAGGACAGGAGAGACCCCUGCCCAAUGUUCGAUUCAGAUGUCAAGACUGAAGAUGCCACACACACACCAGGAGGGUGAGAACGUCCCAUCCCUUACACCACUGAGGUUUCCAGGGGAGCAGGAGCCCCCCGCCGCGCCCCAUCCGAGCUGGUCCAAAGGCCAGGGUUUAUCGUGAUUGGGGUGGGGCCGGGGCGGGGGUUCCCCGGGAUGCCAGGGGCUUCUGUGCUUCGAAUCUUCUACAGGCACUAAAGUGAGGCCUGGCCGGUGUGGGGCCCAGGGAGGAGGGAGAGGGGAGGCAUCAAAGCCAUCAGCAGCCAGUCCUCAGACAGUGGAGUGAAAUCCUCCCGACCCUCCCUCAGCCAGGCGGUUUCCAGUCCCACAAAAUCCCCCGAUAAAUCAGGACCUUUGACUGGGACAGACCAGGGAGGCGCGGGGACCACCCGGCCGGGCUCCCGGGCGAUUCUCAGGGGCUGGCCGGCCCGCGUGUCUCUGCACACCGGCUCAUUCUGCAGACAGCGCCGAGUGCCGCUGUGCAGGGAGACGCUCGGCUGCGCGCGGUCCGGGCACAGUUCUCGGGGAGUCCAGAGGAGGGAGCACGAGCUCCAGGGAUGAGCAUCGGGGCCGGACUCAGCCGUCCGUGGCUAUGGCUGGAGCGGCUGGUGUGAGGCUGUGGGACCGGCCAGGGGUGGGGUGGCCGGGGCUGUAUGGAGCAGGGCCACCCAUGCCCGGGUCCCGCGUGCGACUUGGGAGGCCACCCUCCCUCCCCGCUGCGAGGUGGGGAACACCGGGCGGGCUCCUGGCUCCCGUGGAGAGGGAGAGACCGCGGUUUCGCCCUGGAACGGGGCCGGCGGUCGGCAGGUGCAGGGCACGGACUCCCGUCAUUUCUGACGGUCUCAACUCCCGCUUCUCCUUCUCCAAAAUGCCCUGCAUGUUUUUCUGUUCUGGAGUUCCUCUGGAAAAUGCUGGUUCUGUUUAUGUCCAAGUCUCCUUUUUCCUGGUCACCGGGGUCCCGAGGUUGCGGCGCCUGACGACAUGCGUGUUGCAGAAGCUGCUCUGUGGGGACAGUGACCAACGGCGUUGCCACAGUGACCCGGCCAUGAUGCUUCAGGACAGGACGCACGGGGCAAACGCCUGGGCACCGGGGACGGGGCAGCGCCCUCAGGCAGGGUGUCCACGGGGUGCCCCAGGGCUGCCGGAACAAAGACCCCAGUACUGCGGGGCUUAAAACAACAGAAACGUGUUGUCCUCCAUUCUGGAGGCCGGGAGUCUGACUUCAGGGUGUGGGCAGGGCCGCCUUCCCUGCGGUUUCCGGGAGAAGCUCCUUCCUGCCUCCUCUUCCGGCUUCCUGCCUCUUCCGGCUUCCUGCCUCUUCCGGCUUCCCGCCCCGGUGUCCCCAGGUGUCCUCAGCAGCCGCUGCAUCGCUCCGGUCUCUGCAUCUGUCUGCACAAGGCCAUCUUCCCGGGCACCUGUUUCCUUUCUGUGUCCCCUCCGCUUCCUAUAUGGACACGAGUCAUAGGACUGAGGGCCUACCCUGCUCCUGUGUGACCUCAUCUAAACUUAAUCACUCAUAUCUGCCAAGAAUCUAUGUCCAGCUACAGUCACAGUCUGAGGUUCUGGAUGAACAUUUUGGAAACUAUUCAACCCACUGCAUUACCCAGCUGUGGCUAUAUAUAUAUAUAUACAUAUACAUAUUUAUUUUUUAGUGACAGGGUCUCGCGGUGUUGCCCAGGCUGGAGGGCAGUGGCUCUUCACAGACACAGUCACCGUGUGCUACAGCUUCCAACUCCUGGGCUCGAACCAUCCUCCUUUGUCAGCCCCAUGAGUACUGGGGAGCACAGGUGUGGGGCACUGUGUCCGGCUGUGGUGACAGAUGGAGCCCCCGACACAGGUUUGUAACUCAAGGCACUGACAUCCAACCUGAAGGGCAAGAGCAGGGCAGCGAAAGUGCUGCAGACGGAGGCCGCUUCAAGCCUGGACACCUGCGGGAGAGAAACCCCCAGGAGCCAGGAUCACCGAACACCCAAAGACGUCCCGCUCUGAAAAGAGGCUGCCGCCUCAAUAAACAGGAGGAGUCACAGCUGAGAAACCAGAGGCCUCCAUACCGUGAGUUGGCGCCAGGCGCAGGCCCGUCAUUGUGUCAUCAUCACCACCCUCCACGCAAAGAACUUCUCAUCGCACAAAAGCGAAAUUCUGCCGGGAAGGACCUUGUAUGUCACUGCCACGCUUGAUGAGAGAGAACUUCUUAUUUCUGUUUUAAUCCUCGCCUCCUGUUCACACGGCAGCCUGUGCUUUGGAAUUGCUCCAACCACAGCGUCUGCAUGGCAGCCUCCCUACCUGCUCAGCUGGGAAGUGCAGGCCCCCCAGGGGUCCAGCCCAGGAGGUGGGGGCUGCUGGGCUCCACCCAAGGAGAGGAGCCUGUGCCUGGGCCCAUCCCCCAGCCAUGCCAGCCACACCCAGCUGGGACCUGCGGGACCCUGGGCACAGGCAGGACUCACCCCUGGAGCUGUGGCACGGGCAGAGGGGCCGGGCAGCAGAGGCCACCUAAGUCCAAUUCCCCAGAAUAGUCACUGCCACAAAGGGAGGCAGAGGUGGAAAUCCCUCCUGGACUUGGGAGCUUUGUGAAAUCGACGCUUAGUCAAGGUGAUUCUCCCAGGAGCCUGUGUAGCUACCGGCAGAUGCCGGGCACUCUCCUGCUGGCUAUGCACAGAGCUUUCCCCACUAUUUAUCCAGUCAGCUUCUUACAGUCGUCACUUUCUCUAAAUGUGAAAAACCACAUGCGUUUCAUAUGUCUCUUCCUCAGAAAUACCUGACUGCGAAGUGGAGACUCUUUCCCUCUCAGUAUGUUCAUUCUCUUGACAAUGCCUGCUCCUUGCCUUCGUGUUCAAGCCGACAAUGUUAAACACACACAUUGAACACAUUUAUUGACAUUUCUUCUUCUUUUUUUUUGAAAUGGAGUCUCGCUCUGUCGCCCAGGCUGGAGGGCAGUGGCGCGAUAUCAGCUUACUGCAAGCUCUGCCUCCUGGGUUCACGUCAUUCUCCUGCCUCAGCCUCCUGAGUAGCUGGGACUACAGGUGUCCGCCACCGUGCCUGGCUAAUUUUUUGUAUUUUUAGUAGAGAUGGGGUUUCACCGUGUUAGCGAGGAUGGUCUCGAUCUCCUGACCUUGUGAUCUGCCCGCCUCGGCCUCCCAAAGUGCUGGGAUUACAGGCAUGAGCCACCGCGCCCGGCCCAAUAUUUAUUGACAUUUCAUAGAAGAGCCCUCAGCCACAACGCUGAUUCUGUGGGUUAAAUUAGUUCAUACCCCUCCAAGUGGCAGUGAUGUUCAGAUGUGUCGCUCAUGUUCCUGUCUCAUGAAAUGCGGGUAAAAGUGAUGCCUGCAGCUGCCGUUUGCAUGUGUUUGGAAAUUAAGUGUGGGGUUACUGAUAGCCCAUCGAAGAGAAGGAAUUACUUAUUCCCUGUAAUAUUGAGACCUUUCCAGUUUAUCCUGUAAGAAGGCUCUGGAGGACGUCACCGUGGAGAGAGCUGAGACUGCUGUUGACCUCAUGGGUCUUCAUGGGGAGGCGUGUUCAGCAGAUCAACUUGUUAAAAGCAUGAGGCCCUGGCUUUGAGCAAGUGGAGGAUUUAGAGACAGACCAGAGUGGACUCACUGUCUGUUCUCCCCCAGGCAGUUUUGCUGCUUACAAGUAUUUGCCUUGAGAUGCCUUUAAUCAGCUGCUUCCCUGCGGUUCCUGCGGGAUCAGCCAGCUGUGAGCAUCAUCACGUGUGCCAGGCUGGCUGGGUCGUGAUGCCAUCUUCUCCAGUGGCCCCAGACUCAGACGUGUGGUCCGGAGAAGAGACACCAGGAUAGGCAGCGGGGCAGCAAUGGCUGUUCUGCUUUUGAGGCCAGGGGAUGCAGCUCUGGGGCCCACUGCAGCCACUCGGCUGUGGGGGACAGAAAGGUCUCCCAGGUUCCACACCCUCUGUCCUGUCACCUUGCAGCUUUGCCCCCCAAAAGACAUGGAGGCUCUUUCGUCACUCCUCGAAUCUGGGCUGGGCCUGAGGCUUACUUUGGCCAAUAGACUGUGGGGGAAAGAAGAAUGUGCUGUCGUCUGGGGCCUCAAGGGGCCUUGCAAGUCUCUGCUCUCUCAGACCCCUGCUGGACCCGGGGGCUGGCCUGCUGGAGAAUGAGAGAGGAGAGGGGAGUGCCCAUUUGUUCCAGUCAAGGACAUCCUAGGCCAGCUGACACCCAGCCGAUUCCCAGACACGGGAGAGAGCCCAGCUAAGUGUGGCAGAACCGCCUUGGGACCCACAAUGGACCUCAGACACAUGAGUGGACCCAGCUGAGACCACACCUGCCCAGCUGUCCACAAACGUGUGAGCAGUACUACCUGUUUAUCACUUCAGGCCACUUACCGUGGGUUGCUUGUUAUGCAGCAGUGGCUGACGGAUGCAACUGACCACUGUGAGUGGCUGCACAGAUAGGAGUCCAGGCCUAGCUCAUAGCAAGGUAUUUCUGCAGUUUGCCAGGAAGGAGAAAGGAAGAAAAAGGAGAAGAAAGGGAAGUGGAGGGGAGGUGCAGGGCUGGGCUUCUGGUUCAAGCCCACAGGUGCUGUCCUCACGGGUGUUCUGUGGCUCCCGAGAGGGCGCAGUGGCUCUGCUGGGCUAGGAACUGAGCGAGAACUUUCCUGGUGCCUGAAUAUUAGCAACAUUCCUUCCCAGCACUGACUGCAGAGGGUAAGAGCCGGAAACUACAAUUUGGAAAUUUAAUUAUAUCUCCGGAAGAAAUGUAUGCUUCUUAGAAUGAUUUUAUUCAAAAAGCCUUCAAAAAAUAGAACCUACUUUUUCCCUAUAUUGUGAUUAAUUCAAACCAAAUAAAAGGAACCGUUGAACUCUUA